GUGAUGAAGAGGAGGAGGAGGAGGUGAUAGAAGACAGUGAUGAUGGUGAUCAUGGUGAUGAAGAGGAGGAGGAGGUGAUAGAAGACAGUGAUGAUGGUGAUCAUGGUGAUGAGGAGGAGGUGAUAGAAGACAGUGAUGAUGGUGGUCAUGGUGAUGAGGAGGAGGUGAUAGAAGACAGUGAUGAUGGUGAUGAUGGUGAUGAUGAGGAGGAGGAGGUGAUAGAAGACAGUGAUGAUGGUGAUCAUGGUGAUGAGGAGGAGGUGAUAGAAGACAGCGAUGAUGGUGAUGAUGGUGAUGAGGAGGAGGAGGAGGUGAUAGAAGACAGUGAUGAUGGUGAUGAUGGUGAUGAUGAGGAGGAGGAGGUGAUAGAAGACAGUGAUGAUGGUGAUCAUGGUGAUGAGGAGGUGAUAGAAGACAGUGAUGAUGGUGAUGAUGGUGAUGAGGAGGAGGACGAGGUGAUAGAAGACAGUGAUGAUGGUGAUGAUGGUGAUGAUGAGGAGGAGGAGGUGAUAGAAGACAGUGAUGAUGGUGAUGAUGAGGAGGAGGAGGUGAUAGAAGACAGCGAUGAUGGUGAUGAUGGUGAUGAGGAGGAGGACGAGGUGAUAGAAGACAGUGAUGAUGGUGAUGAUGGUGAUGAUGAGGAGGAGGAGGUGAUAGAAGACAGUGAUGAUGGUGAUGAUGAGGAGGAGGAGGUGAUAGAAGACAGUGAUGAUGGUGGUCAUUGUGAUGAGGAGGUGAUAGAAGACAGUGAUGAUGGUGGUCAUGGUGAUGAGGAGGAGGUGAUAGAAGACAGUGAUGAUGGUGAUCAUGGUGAUGAGGAGGAGGUGAUAGAAGACAGUGAUGAUGGUGGUCAUGGUGAUGAGGAGGAGGUGAUAGAAGACAGUGAUGAUGGUGAUGAUGGUGAUGAUGAGGAGGAGGAGGUGAUAGAAGACAGUGAUGAUGGUGAUGAUGGUGAUGAGGAGGUGAUAGAAGACAGUGAUGAUGGUGGUCAUUGUGUGUUGGAUGUUGGAAGUCAGCUCCUAUUUCCAUCAACAGUCUACAGUAAUGGUUUCUCUUCUUUUUUUCAUUGGAAGAAUAGGUCUGGAGGUUACUGGACUUAACUGAGGAUCUCCAGCACAUUUAGAUAGCUUUGAUUCUGCAUGACUCAAAGAAAGGCAC
rnacentral:lncRNA from 1 species